rnacentral:lncRNA from 1 species
UUUAACACCAGCAGUCCCAUGGAGUCCUUGAGCCAGGCUGAGGGAAAGCAGUGCAAGUUCAGGGCUACGACUUCAACCUGAGACCAAAAGGAGGACUACUUAGGGAAAGUGCUCAGAACACCACCUCCGAACACAAGAAGUCCCGGAUUUCUACCCGGCAAAACCCUACCUCUGGAAUGUUAGAAGGUUCUCCUCUCCACCUCCUACUAAGUUCCUGAGACCGACAGAGCCAGAGCCUGAGUGACACUACCUGGGGAAGCCUUGGUCUGGUUCAUCCAGUUCCGUGCCUUGGAGGUCCUGCUCUGCUCACAGCUAAAUAACACAUAUCUAAGCCGUGAAUCAGGCCUGAAACACUCGCCCACACAGCAGUGGUGAAACUGAACUUUCAACCGCCAUCCUCUGCAGGGGAGUGAGGUCAUACGGUAAG